AAGAAGAAAUGAACAUGUUGUAGGAUGAAGGAAGAAAAUAUGUCAAAGAUCCCUUACAGCAAAGAGUAAUAAUCAGAUACGAAGGAAAUAGUAAGAGAUGAAUCCAUAUCCAGUCCCCAGGAUUUAACAGCAGCAAUAAGGCCUCUCUGUCCACUGCAGCAAAUUGAUCCUACAUGACACUGACAAGGGCAGCCUGCACUUAAUGACCUCCAUCGCUGAAGGAUGGCAAUGAGAAAUGGCUGGAAGUACAAAUAAAUCUUGGAAAGUUUCCCUGAAACAGGUCUUUCCAUUUCCUUUUCCCACACCUCCCUCUGUCUUGCCUUUGAAGGAACCAGUCUUGGGGGCCUCCGUGCAGCUCCCCAGUGGUCCUUUAUGGGUGGUUUCCCACUCUCUUCCUUUCUGCUAGCCCUGAUUUCAAACAGGGAGAAGACACAUUUGUGCUUAGAAUUUGGUUCCUAAGAGGCUCAGAAUGCUGGCAUUCAUGGAACACAUUUGAAGCAGGAGGAAAGAAUGGAAGACAGAGCAGAGAAUUUAACAUUCGGAAACACCCAAAGCCAUUAUUUGCUGAUGUCACAUCGCAUGAUUUCACAGGCCUGAUGUAUUCUCUGGCAAGAUCAAGUUCACAGAAGUAAACUGAGGCCUGCAGAACUCUGGACAGAGGUUGAAUGCAGCAGAGUAAAGAUGCUAAAGAAGCCAGCGGAGUCUGUCUAUCUGGAACAUUACU